rnacentral:rRNA from 1 species
GACGAACGCUGGCGGCGUGCUUAACACAUGCCAGUCGAACGAUGAAGCGGGUGCUUGCACUCGUGGAUUAGUGGCGAACGGGCGAGUAACACGAGAGUAACCUGUCCUUUUCUUUGGGAUAACGGCUGGAAACGGCUGCUAAUACUGGAUAUUCAGGCUGCAUCGCAUGGUGUGGUUUGGAAAGGUUUUUUCUGGGAUUGGGUGGGCUCGCGGCCUAUCAGCUUGUUGGUGGGGUGAUGGCUUACCAAGGCUUUGACGGGUAGCCGGCCUGAGAGGGUGGUCGGUCGCACUGGGACUGAGAUACGGCCCAGACUCCUACGGGAGGCAGCAGUGGGGAAUAUUGCACAAUGGACGAAAGUUUGAUGCAGCGACGCCGCGUGGAGGGUGUAGGCCUUCGGGUUGUGAACUCCUUUUUCUCGCGAAAAAGGCACAGUUUUGGCUGUGUUGAUGGUAGUGGGGGAAGAAGCGCCGGCUAACUACGUG